rnacentral:lncRNA from 1 species
CUUCCAUCUCCAUUGUUUGUGUGCCUCAAGUGACCCAAUGAGCUCUUCAACUAAGAGAACUGGCAAGUCCUUCAACUCGUCGAUGACACAUAUGAUGUUCUCGAAAUCAUCUGUCGUGACCUCAAGAUUUUCUCCACAGCUCGACUGACUAGCAUUGGUUCUCCAUUUCUACCUAGUUUAUUUGUCACUUUCUCCACCUGAGUUAUGUACUCGAUCACAUGAUCUAUGUCUUUCAUCUUCAAUUUUUCAAACUCUCCUUAGAGAGUUUGAAGUAGGACUUGCCUAACACAUUUGUCUC